UAAGUUAGAAAGGGCGCACGGUGGAUGCCUUGACACUAGGAGUCGAUGAAGGACGGGACUAACGCCGAUAUGCUUCGGGGAGCUGUAAGUAAGCUUUGAUCCGAAGAUUUCCGAAUGGGGAAACCCACCAUACGUAAUGGUAUGGUAUCCUUAUCUGAAUACAUAGGGUAAGGAAGACAGACCCAGGGAACUGAAACAUCUAAGUACCUGGAGGAAGAGAAAGCAAAUGCGAUUUCCUGAGUAGCGGCGAGCGAAACGGAACAUAGCCCAAACCAAGAGGCUUGCCUCUUGGGGUUGUAGGACAUUCUAUACGGAGUUACAAAGGAACGAGGUAGACGAAGCGACCUGGAAAGGUCCGUCGUAGAGGGUAACAACCCCGUAGUCGAAACUUCGUUCUCUCUUGAAUGUAUCCUGAGUACGGCGGAACACGUGAAAUUCCGUCGGAAUCUGGGAGGACCAUCUCCCAAGGCUAAAUACUCCCUAGUGAUCGAUAGUGAACCAGUACCGUGAGGGAAAGGUGAAAAGCACCCCGGAAGGGGAGUGAAAGAGAUCCUGAAACCGUGUGCCUACAAAUAGUCAGAGCCCGUUAACGGGUGAUGGCGUGCCUUUUGUAGAAUGAACCGGCGAGUUACGAUCCCGUGCGAGGUUAAGCUGAAGAGGCGGAGCCGCAGCGAAAGCGAGUCUGAAUAGGGCGUUUAGUACGUGGUCGUAGACCCGAAACCAGGUGAUCUACCCAUGUCCAGGGUGAAGUUCAGGUAACACUGAAUGGAGGCCCGAACCCACGCACGUUGAAAAGUGCGGGGAUGAGGUGUGGGUAGCGGAGAAAUUCCAAUCGAACCUGGAGAUAGCUGGUUCUCCCCGAAAUAGCUUUAGGGCUAGCCUUAAGUGUAAGAGUCUUGGAGGUAGAGCACUGAUUGGACUAGGGGUCCUCAUCGGAUUACCGAAUUCAGUCAAACUCCGAAUGCCAAUGACUUAUCCUUAGGAGUCAGACUGCGAGUGAUAAGAUCCGUAGUCAAAAGGGAAACAGCCCAGACCGCCAGCUAAGGUCCCAAAGUGUGUAUUAAGUGGAAAAGGAUGUGGAGUUGCUUAGACAACUAGGAUGUUGGCUUAGAAGCAGCCACCAUUUAAAGAGUGCGUAAUAGCUCACUAGUCGAGUGACUCUGCGCCGAAAAUGUACCGGGGCUAAAUACACCACCGAAGCUGCGGAUUGAUACCGAAUGGUAUCAGUGGUAGGGGAGCGUUCUAAGGACAGUGAAGUCAGACCGUAAGGACUGGUGGAGUGCUUAGAAGUGAGAAUGCCGGUAUGAGUAGCGAAAGACGGGUGAGAAUCCCGUCCACCGAAUGCCUAAGGUUUCCUGAGGAAGGCUCGUCCGCUCAGGGUUAGUCAGGACCUAAGCCGAGGCCGACAGGCGUAGGCGAUGGACAACAGGUUGAUAUUCCUGUACCACCUCUUUAUCGUUUGAGCAAUGGAGGGACGCAGAAGGAUAGAAGAAGCGUGCGAUUGGUUGUGCACGUCCAAGCAGUUAGGCUGAUAAGUAGGCAAAUCCGCUUAUCAUAAAGGCUGAGCUGUGAUGGGGAAGCUCCUUAUGGAGCGAAGUCUUUGAUUCCCCGCUGCCAAGAAAAGCUUCUAGCGAGAUAAAAGGUGCCUGUACCGCAAACCGACACAGGUAGGCGAGGAGAGAAUCCUAAGGUGUGCGAGAGAACUCUGGUUAAGGAACUCGGCAAAAUGACCCCGUAACUUCGGGAGAAGGGGUGCUUUCUUAACGGAAAGCCGCAGUGAAUAGGCCCAAGCGACUGUUUAGCAAAAACACAGCUCUCUGCGAAGCCGUAAGGCGAAGUAUAGGGGGUGACACCUGCCCGGUGCUGGAAGGUUAAGGAGAGGGGUUAGCGUAAGCGAAGCUCUGAACUGAAGCCCCAGUAAACGGCGGCCGUAACUAUAACGGUCCUAAGGUAGCGAAAUUCCUUGUCGGGUAAGUUCCGACCCGCACGAAAGGUGUAACGAUUUGGGCACUGUCUCAACCAGAGACUCGGUGAAAUUAUAGUACCUGUGAAGAUGCAGGUUACCCGCGACAGGACGGAAAGACCCCGUGGAGCUUUACUGUAGCCUGAUAUUGAAUUUUGGUACAGUUUGUACAGGAUAGGCGGGAGCCAUUGAAACCGGAGCGCUAGCUUCGGUGGAGGCGCUGGUGGGAUACCGCCCUGACUGUAUUGAAAUUCUAACCUACGGGUCUUAUCGACCCGGGAGACAGUGUCAGGUGGGCAGUUUGACUGGGGCGGUCGCCUCCUAAAGUGUAACGGAGGCGCCCAAAGGUUCCCUCAGAAUGGUUGGAAAUCAUUCGUAGAGUGCAAAGGCAUAAGGGAGCUUGACUGCGAGACCUACAAGUCGAGCAGGGACGAAAGUCGGGCUUAGUGAUCCGGUGGUUCCGCAUGGAAGGGCCAUCGCUCAACGGAUAAAAGCUACCCCGGGGAUAACAGGCUUAUCUCCCCCAAGAGUCCACAUCGACGGGGAGGUUUGGCACCUCGAUGUCGGCUCAUCGCAUCCUGGGGCUGUAGUCGGUCCCAAGGGUUGGGCUGUUCGCCCAUUAAAGCGGUACGCGAGCUGGGUUCAGAACGUCGUGAGACAGUUCGGUCCCUAUCCGUCGUGGGCGUAGGAAAUUUGAGAGGAGCUGUCCUUAGUACGAGAGGACCGGGAUGGACGCACCGCUGGUGUACCAGUUGUUCUGCCAAGGGCAUAGCUGGGUAGCUAUGUGCGGAAGGGAUAAGUGCUGAAAGCAUCUAAGCAUGAAGCCCCCCUCAAGAUGAGAUUUCCCAUAGCGUAAGCUAGUAAGAUCCCUGAAAGAUGAUCAGGUUGAUAGGUUCGAGGUGGAAGCAUGGUGACAUGUGGAGCUGACGAAUACUAAUAGAUCGAGGACUUAACCA
rnacentral:rRNA from 1 species